rnacentral:rRNA from 4 species
CUGUAGCGCGGUGGUCCCACCUGACCCCAUGCCGAACUCAGAAGUGAAACGCCGUAGCGCCGAUGGUAGUGUGGGGUCUCCCCAUGCGAGAGUAGGGAACUGCCAGGC